rnacentral:rRNA from 1 species
GACGAACGCUGGCGGCGUGCCUAAUACAUGCAAGUUGAGCGCUGAAGGUUGGUACUUGUACCAACUGGAUGAGCAGCGAACGGGUGAGUAACGCGUGGGGAAUCUGCCUUUGAGCGGGGGACAACAUUUGGAAGCGAAUGCUAAUACCGCAUAAAAACUUUAAACACAAGUUUUAAGUUUGAAAGAUGCAAUUGCAUCACUCAAAGAUGACCCCGCGUUGUAUUAGCUAGUUGGUGAGGUAAAGGCUCACCAAGGCGAUGAUACAUAGCCGACCUGAGAGGGUGAUCGGCCACAUUGGGACUGAGACACGGCCCAAACUCCUACGGGAGGCAGCAGUAGGGAAUCUUCGGCAAUGGACGAAAGUCUGACCGAGCAACGCCGCGUGAGUGAAGAAGGGCUUCGGAUCGUAAAACUCUGUUGGUAGAGAAGAACGUUGGUGAGAGUGGAAAGCUCAUCAAGUGACGGUAACUACCCAGAAAGGGACGGCUAACUACGUG